UACGUAGGGGGCGAGCGUUGUCCGGAUUUAUUGGGCGUAAAGAGCUCGUAGGCGGCUUGGCAAGUCGGGUGUGAAACCUCCAGGCUCAACCUGGAGACGCCACUCGAUACUGCUAUGGCUAGAGUCCGGUAGGGGACCACGGAAUUCCUGGUGUAGCGGUGAAAUGCGUAGAUAUCAAGAGGAACACCUGCGGCGAAGGCGGGUUGCUGGGCCGACACUGACGCUGAGGCGCGAAAGCCAGGGGAGCGAGCGGG
rnacentral:rRNA from 1 species